GGAGAGGUGUGAGAGCGGCUGAAUCAGCAGCACUGGAAAUGCUGUAAACCAGAAAUGGUUUCGGGGGUUCGAAUCCCCCCCUCUCCG
rnacentral:tRNA from 1 species